rnacentral:lncRNA from 1 species
CGGGAAGGGUCACUCCGGCAGAAGUAUAAGGCUCAUAGCCCCUGGGUGGUGGAGGUGCAGAGCGCGAGCUCGACCCAUGCUCGAAAGUCCGUCGAGGCUCGCUACGGGAUUUUUCUUUCUUUUUGCGCAAGGAUAUCAGUUUGCCCGCGCGAAACCUCUUACGCAUGUAUAGAGGGGCAGCAUCAUGGUAUAUGACUGAACGUCUCUGACCACCUUCUAUCUCUCGUUCAGUAGGCGGCUCUUGCGCUUCCUCGACAUCUUCAAAAGUGAAGUCUUCCCUUUGGCAAAGGACAAAGGGAACACCGCGCGGUACAGAAUAAGCUGUCAGCGUGCGCGCUAUACGAUCCGAGGCUUCUAGAUCCCUCGUACUCAG